ensembl:lncRNA
ACUCUAGUAUUCUUGCCUGGAGAAUCCCCACAGAGGAGCCUGGCGGGCUACAGUCCACGGGGUCGCAGAGUCGGACAUGACUGAGCGACUAAGCACAUCCCAAAAUUGGGAACUGCCUGGAAAAGGAACCAGGAAUAGCUUUUGGGUGCCCCCAGGCCCAAAAAUGUUCACACUGAUGCCAUUCGAAGAAGCAAAAAGAGUUGACAGCGUUAAUUAAACACUCCUAAGUGCUGAAAAUUCUAAUGGAGCUGCAUGCUGUGAUCUGCAUGUGGAUGGUGGAUAACUGCGGCCCCACAUCUCCAUUGAAGUUACCGGUUGAAUUUUUGGAAAAGGAAAAGGAGAUGGAUGCUGCUGUCCUAAAGCCAGUGGGUCUCCAGCACUAGAAGGAGGAUGAACAGAAAGGCCUUUCCUUACUGACAUCUGGUUCAGACGUUUUAUGGCAGAUACCUGCCUCAUCGUUGCUUUUCCAUUCUCAUAACAUCUCUCACAUUUGGAGAUUAAAAGUUCUUUAGUAACACCUUCCGGAGUGUAUACAAAAGAUUAAAAAGUGUUUAUCUUUAAAGAACCAGAAACUGGUAUCAGUGAGGAAAAGAUUCAUACAUCUUUUACAUUAUAAUCUAA